rnacentral:rRNA from 1 species
CAGCCGCCGCGGUAAUACGAAGGGGGCUAGCGUUGCUCGGAAUGACUGGGCGUAAAGGGCGCGUAGGCGGCGAUCAAAGUCAGGCGUGAAAUUCUUGGGCUCAACCUGGGGGCUGCGCUUGAUACUUGGUUGCUUGAGUGGGGAAGAGGGUCGUGGAAUUCCCAGUGUAGAGGUGAAAUUCGUAGAUAUUGGGAAGAACACCGGUGGCGAAGGCGGCGACCUGGUCCUUGACUGACGCUGAGGCGCGAAAGCGUGGGGAGCAAACAGGAUUAGAUACCCCCGUAGUCCCUGUCUCUUAUAC